GCCGGAGUGGCGGAAUGGCAGACGCCGGGGACUUAAAAUCCCCUGUCCGAAAGGGCGUGCGGGUUCGAAUCCCGCCUCCGGCACCA
rnacentral:tRNA from 2 species